rnacentral:rRNA from 1 species
UUGACCUCAAAUCAGGUAAGAAU